GCCACCCGUCUCACCGGCACGAAGAGGACACAGCCCACCAGGGUCCCCGUCAGCGCAGACUUGACCACCUCGGCGUAGCAGCGGUUGCCCUCGCGCGAGCCCUUGAUGAGCGCGGUGAUGUAGAAGGGACACUCCAUGGAGGAGGGACCCAGGAGACCCCGACACCCAUCACUGCAGUUCUGAGCUCACCCAGCCCUCACAUGGGGGGUCCCCAAUUUGGAACUCACCAUAAGGAGCCCCCAUGACAGUGAUGAACAUCACGGCAGCCACGAGGACAUAGAGGAGCGAGAGCCACCAGCCAAAGAGCAGCAGUUUUUACAGGAAAAACCCCUAAAAUCACGAGCCAACAAGUGACCUAAGUGACGCCUGAGGAUGGGAGUGCAGUCCCGUACCUGCUUGGACCCUUUUGCUUCUCACCCUAACCUGAAAAGAUGUUGAUUAAAGAGACACCCCGGGGUGUUAGACAAACAAGCUGCAAUCUGCGACUCUCCGUGAGGAUGGAAUCCCCAGCUCUGCCUGCAGACCAGGACAAAGCUGCAUCCUCCUCCUCCUCCUCCGUGCCAUGCCUGGGACCCGUCGGCUUCUCCCCACCUGAGCUGGUUCUUCUCAAUAAAGGCAUUAAAAAGGACAAAGAUCUCCUGCCCAUUUAUUUCACGAGGCACCCCCGGGCUGCCGGUGCC